rnacentral:rRNA from 1 species
UACGAAGGUGCAAACGUUGCUCGGAAUUAUUGGGCGUAAAGAGCUCGUAGGCGGUGUGUCGCGUCGGCCGUGAAAACCUGCAGCUUAACUGUGGGCUUGCGGUCGAUACGGGCAUCACUGGAGUUCGGCAGGGGAGACUGGAAUUCUGGUGUAGCGGUGAAAUGCGCAGAGUAUCAGGAGGAACACCGGUGGCGAAGGCGGCAUCCUGGACCAACACUGACGCUGAGGAGCGAAAGCCAGGGGAGCAAACGGG